rnacentral:rRNA from 1 species
UACGUAGGGUGCAAGCGUUAAUCGGAAUUACUGGGCGUAAAGCGUACGCAGGCGGCUUUGCAAGACAAGUGUGAAAUCCCUGGGCCUAACCUGGGAACUGCAUUUGUGACUGCAUGGCUAGAGUCUGUCAGAGGGGGGUGGAAUUCCACGUGUAGCAGUGAAAUGCGUAGAGAUGUGGAAGAAAACCGAUGGCGAAGGCAGCCCCCUGGGAUGAGACUGACGCUCAUGUACGAAAGCGUGGGGAGCAAACAGG